rnacentral:rRNA from 1 species
AGUACGCGUGAGGAUCUGCCUCAGGAGGGGGACAACGACUGGAAACGGUCGCUAAUACCCCAUAUGCCGAGAGGUGAAAUGUUUUUUCGCCUGAGGAUGAGCUCGCGUCAGAUUAGCUAGUUGGUGGGGUAACGGCCUACCAAGGCGACGAUCUGUAGCUGGUCUGAGAGGAUGAUCAGCCACACUGGGACUGAGACACGGGCCAGACUCCUACGGGAGGCAGCAGUGGGGACAUUUUCCGCAAUGGGCGAAAGCCUGACGGAGCAAGACCGCGUGAGGGAUGACGGCCUAAUGGUUGUAAACCUCUUUUCUCUGGAAAGAUAAUGACGGUACCAGAGGAA